UACGUAGGGUGCAAGCGUUAAUCGGAAUUACUGGGCGUAAAGCGUGCGCAGGCGGUUUUGUAGUCAGAUGUGAAAUCCCCGGGCUUAACCUGGGAACUGCGUUUGAAACUACAAGGCUAGAGUGUGGCAGAGGGGGGUGGAAUUCCACGUGUAGCAGUGAAAUGCGUAGAGAUGUGGAGGAACACCGAUGGCGAAGGCAGCCCCCUGGGUUAACACUGACGCUCAGGCACGAAAGCGUGGGGAGCAAACAGG
rnacentral:rRNA from 1 species